rnacentral:lncRNA from 1 species
UAAAGUCAAGCACAAUCUCUAAUCCUCAAUAUCAUUACAUGACUGAAACUGUACUUUUACAUAAUAUCAAUACAUUUAUCAUGUCCACACUAUCUAUUACAUAUACCAGACUUCAUUACUCUUGUAAACCUCCUGGUCUACCCUGUACCUGCAAUCCUGGGGAAAUUUGGGAGAGGGGUGAGCCACUAGAGCCCAGUGAGCAGAAUAAUAAAACAUUUAAAACAUAGGAUAACAUGGAAUGCAUCACAUCACAGCUAAACACAUCAAGGAUGAACCUAUCACCAAUAGCCCUCUACAUGGUCCAACUGUGCCAGAACGUAGAAUGGGUCCUGGUCUUUCCGUUACAUAUCAUAACAUAACAGUGUCCAACUGUGCCAGAACGUAGAAUGGGUCCUGGUCUUUCCCUUACAUAGUGCCAGCGAACGUAGAAUGGGUCCCACUGGUCUUACAUUCCGUACCGUACAUAUCACAUCGUCAUAUCAUAGAUCGAGGGCUAUGGAUCAUCCAACAUUCAUCCACAUCAACAUUAAAAUGUGCAAUGCAACAUAUUCGUGGAUUCUAAUGCAAACAACCUAAAACAUCACAUGGCAUUCAUGAUGCAUGAACAUGCUCAAAACUAUACGAUUAAUUUGCUUAAAACAUAAAGGUUUAUUCCACUCACCUCUGGAUAGCUCUGACCAGACACUGGGGCAACAGCCUCACUGCUGGGGUCCUC